GUUUUUUUCUUGGCUAUGAGGCCAUUAGAAAGGGGUACAGAUUGCCGGAUUCUAUUGCUCACAAGAUCAUUUUUAGCUAAGAUGUUACUUUUAAUGAAAAUGCUUUUGAAGGUACGAUUGAAAAGCAUGAAGUAAGGAAGAUAUAAUUGAGCAGGAAGCAAGUGUUGAUGAAGAGGAAAUGUCUCAAAAUGAACCUGAGUCAGAAUUGUCCAGUGAAGAGCUUUCUUUUGUAGACCCUCAUGAAGUGCCAACACAUUCUUGAAGGACAAUUAAGCCUUCAAUUAGACAAAUGGAGAUGUGCCAUGGAGGAAGAGAUGGAGUCCUUGCAUAAGAUGAGACUUGGGACCUUGUUCAGUUACCUGAAAGUUGGAAAGCUAUUGGUUGUUGAUGGAUUUAAAAACUGAAAAAGGAUUUAGUUGGGAAUGUGGAAAGAUACAAGGCUAGGCUUGUGGUAAAAAGAUUUUGUUGGUGAUAAGGAUAAAAAGAAAUCUACUACAAGUUAUACUUUUACCAUAACAGGAGGCGCAAUCAGCUGGGAAUCAAAACUACAAUCAGUUGUAUCAUUAUCAACAACAGAGGUAGAAUACAUGGCAGCAAUACAUGCUUGCAAGGAAGCUAUAUGGCUACAAAGGUUUCUUGAGGAAUUGAUGAUGAGACAAUAGAAGGUUAUUUGUGCUAAUAGUGAUAGCCAAAGUGCUCUUCAUUUGGCUAGAAACUCAGCUUUCCACUCAUGUACAAAGCACAUUGAUGUUCGUUAUCACUUCAUUCGAGAUGUGGUUGAAAAUGGCGAGAUUAUCUUGAAGAAAAUUCACACAGACUUGAAUCCUACAGACAUGUUAACCAAGUUUGUGACAAGAGAGAAGUUUAAUCCGUUUUAAGAAUUUUUUGGGCCUUGAAGCAGUUGGUUGUGAUAGAAUCGUGUCUUCAAGUGGGAGAAUUGUUGAAGAUUGAGUCAAUAUUAUCCAUUAGUAGAGUUUUAAAAAAAUGGGAGUCAAAGUAACAGAUUCCUAUAAUCUAUAAAGCCACGAUUUUUAGUACAAAAUUAGGAAAUAGACUCCUCUAUAGAUAACGCCAAGUCUUUUGUUUUUAUUAUCAAUUUUCAGAUCUUUAUCUACUCUUUGAUCUUGUAUUGUU